GUCAGGAUGGCCGAGCGGUCUAAGGCGCUGCGUUAAGGUCGCAUUCUCCCCUGGAGGCGUGGGUUCCAAUCCCACUUCUGACA
rfam:Tetraodon nigroviridis, WGS project CAAE01000000 data, contig: CNS0BPAI, chromosome: undetermined